rnacentral:rRNA from 1 species
GACGUAGGAUGCAAGCGUUGUCCGGAUUUAUUGGGCGUAAAGAGUUCGUAGGCGGUUCGGUAAGUCUGAUGUUAAAGCUCGGGGCCCAACCCUGAGAGUGCAUUGGAUACUGGCGAACUGGAGUGCAGUAGAGGCGAGUGGAAUUCCCAGUGUAGCGGUGAAAUGCGUAGAUAUUGGGAAGAACACCGGUGGCGAAGGCGGGUCUCUGGGCAUCUCCUGACGCUGAGGCGCGAAAGCGUGGGGAGCAAACGGG